rnacentral:rRNA from 1 species
AUUGAACGCUGGCGGCAUGCCUUACACAUGCAAGUCGAACGGCAGCACGGGAGCAAUCCUGGUGGCGAGUGGCGAACGGGUGAGUAAAGUAUCGGAACGUGCCCAGUCGUGGGGGACAACGUAGCGAAAGCUACGCUAAUACCGCAUACGAUCUAUGGAUGAAAGCGGGGGAUCGCAAGACCUCGCGCGAUUGGAGCGGCCGAUAUCAGAUUAGGUAGUUGGUGGGGUAAAGGCUCACCAAGCCGACGAUCUGUAGCUGGUCUGAGAGGACGACCAGCCACACUGGGACUGAGACACGGCCCAGACUCCUACGGGAGGCAGCAGUGGGGAAUUUUGGACAAUGGGCGAAAGCCUGAUCCAGCCAUGCCGCGUGCAGGAUGAAGGCCUUCGGGUUGUAAACUGCUUUUGUACGGAACGAAAAGGUUUGACCUAAUAAGCUGAGCUCAUGACGGUACCGUAAGAAUAAGCACCGGCUAACUACGUGCCAGCCGCCGCGGUAA